GUUGCUUUGUACCUGGAGUCUUUUAAUAAGCAUUUACACCCCCAUUUCUCACAGAGAAUAACAGUCGGGAGUCAUUGUCACAAUGAAAUAGCAAUGUCAGCAACCAGAUUCAUGGAAGGACUGAGGGUCCUCAUGAAUGGCAUUAAGAUUCUGUACUGCUCAUAAUACACUCCAUCCUCUCUAGAUGGCCGGGCAAUAGUGGAGGGGUAAUCUCUGACAAAAAAAAAAGGGAAGGCUAUUUUUUUUCUGCUUAACAAUGGAAUUGGCAUAAUAGGGAUUGAAGAUAAAAUUUGGAACCAAGACUGAGAAGAUGGAGUGUAUGUAGAAGGGCUGUUUAAAAAUGUAAACUUGGUUGCAUUAUAUGUGGAG
rnacentral:lncRNA from 1 species